rnacentral:rRNA from 1 species
CUACGGGAGGCAGCAGUGGGGAAUCUUGCACAAUGGGCGAAAGCCUGAUGCAGCCAUGCCGCGUGAAUGAUGAAGGCCUUAGGGUUGUAAAAUUCUUUCGCUAGGGAUGAUAAUGACAGUACCUAGUAAAGAAGCCCCGGCUAACUUCGUGCCAGCAGCCGCG